CUUCUAGAAUCUCUCUCACUCUCACUCUACGGAUCCCAAUUAUCGAACAUCGCCGUCUCCGCCGUUCUCGCCUGGUUCUCCUUCAUCUUCUUCUUCGGGGCGACACCACACGCCUCCGUAUUGUUUCAUGCCUUUAGCUCAGGUUCCUUCAUUACUUGUACUUCUUCGGAUUUGUGUUUGGGAGGAAUGUGUAGCUUUUGAAACGAUUAGGAAGACACUGAUUUGUGUGAUUAUUGUCCUUGUGUUGUUCAUAUCUUGCUAUUUGGGUAUGGAGCUUGGGAAAACAUUUUUGCUGAUGGUAGGCACAGGUGAUGAACCCGUGGCCAAGUGUCGAUGCCCUCAAUGGGGUCUUGCUGAUCAGAUUUAAGUUGGGGGAGGAAUUAGUAGUUGAAACAAUUAGGAAGAAACUGGUUUGGCUCUUGCGUUUAAUCUGUGUGCUCCCUGCUGAUGCAGAGUACAUGAUGGGACUUUGAGGUUUUUUUUUUUUUUAAAUGGCCUAGCUUGAAGACGUUACUUAACGAGUCUCAGGCACAUUCAUCAGUCAAAAGCCUAACUUCCAGGUGCAUCCAUCUCAAUGUAGUUUACAUGUUGGUUGUUGAAGCUUCAAGAAUUGCUGCUUGAUUAUGAGUGAGCGUUUUUCAUGUGCAUCCAUAUGUAUUCUGGGAACAAAAACUCAAUGCCCGGUAUCAAGAACAAGAAGUGUCAAUGGAUUAGGUCAAGGACAUCCCAGAGAGUUCGUUGCCAUCUAGGCUCUACCAUUACAAAGGUAGAUUUAUUCAGACAUGCUGCAGUACUUACGGUGGAAUACAUUCACAAAAUCCGGCGUCAAGGCUUUGAGGUUUAGCUACUUGAACAUUUUUGGUGGUUUAGGGAUCAAAUGAAUGGAGUCCGCAGAAGCGAUCAGGGACCUGUGAUAGGAAUCAGAAUUUAAACGUCUUGUUUGGUUAAGGUGUUUCGUCCUGCAUUUCCAUGAACUAUCAGUGACCGGUUCUCUAAUUUCAAUGAUGGAGUUGACUUCGGAGCCUGUGGUGCAACAAUAGAUGCCGUAGUUUUGAGCGGAAAUGAUGAAUAAUUGCAAGAACUCUCAAGGGUAAGGAUCAAAACUCAGCUUCAAAACUGCCAUGAAAACAAAUCUUGUCAUUGCAGGAUCGACAGUCUUGGAUAGAUCAAUACAUGGAUCUCCAUCCAGGUGGUAGAAGUCGAUCGUUUGGUGGGGGUGAUGGAGAACCGGUAAUAGCACUUUGAUCGAGCAUGUCAUAUAUAGCACAGUGUGAUCUUUUGCCAGAGGCUUGAACGUGCAUUCUCUGAGCUCAACGAAAGAGGGUUUUCACCAGACGUAACCACAUUAAAUUCCAUAUGUCUCUAUUUAUAGAAGAAGGCAGAUAGUUAACUGUUGAUGAGAAACCUCACAGUAAACUUGUCAAACCCUGACUUCAAAUCCGCUUUUGAUGUUGCAGAGGGAGAAACUGCAAUAACGGUUGGCUAAUCUCUCUGGAGGUGUUUCAGUUUGAAGAUUGGAGGAGUAAGUGAAGCUGAAGCUGGUGCGAAGAAAGGCAGAGUGACAGAUGCUUUGAAUGCCACUAAAGCAGCUGUUGAAGAGGGAAUUUUGCUAGGUAUGUCUCCUCUGGUGAAGAAAUAGCAUCAUCAUCAUCAUCAUCAUCAUCAUCAUCAUCAGGUACUUCUAUAUAUAUACGAUACGAGGGUCACAAAUUUGUCAGCAACUAAAAACAACAACAACACAGUCUCUUAACACUUGUUCUUCGUCUUCCUGGAGAACCAUCCGUGUAUCUCCUCCGAUCAGCUUAUGUUAUCAUCCUUCUCUCUUUCUCAAUUUUAUCUCUCUCUCUUACUCCGUCGUUGAUGAUUCUCAUAUGUGUUGCUUACUUCUAGAGUCCCAUCGAUUCAUCUCUGGUCCAAGCAAGGACGACGGUUCUCCUUAAGGACGAAGAUGCUAUUCAAUUCUCCUCAUAUAAUAAUAUCCUUCAAUUUCCUAUUUUAACUUCUUCAAUUAAAACUGUAGAGUGGAUAACCAAAAUUGAAAGCCGGAGAGAACCAUCGACCAUGUAUCUCCUCCGAUCAGGUUAUGUUAUCAUCCUUCUCUCUCUUUCUCAAUUUUAACAACCUUUUGAAAGCCUGAGAGAACCAUCAACUAUAACAACCUUUUUUAGGUGCUACUGGGAACACGAGCUCAAAAUAAUGAAAAGCUUCAUUAGUUUCUGGAUGAGGGGAAGGCACUAACCCGAAGAGCUGAAGGUUGUUGAAACUCAUUGUCAUCUAGGCUCUACCAUUACAAAGGUGGUUAUAUUCAGAGGUGAUGCAGUCUUAUGUUGGAAUUUCUUUGAUCAACUUCGGCGUCAAGGCUUUGUGGGUUACAGUGGUAAGAGGAGUUUCUUAUACCAAAACUGUCACUUUACAACCUGGCCCUCUUUCAUUAGCAAGUAUUUCAAAUUCGCCCCAUUUCCUUAUUUAUAUGAAAACCGAGUGUUUUGGGAUGAAAACAAGCAUCUAAAGCUAAAGUUGGUCGAAGACCGAUCGGACUAGCAAGUAGAUGGAGCAAAUGCAGAAAAGCAUCCGAGAUCGGCUGAUCCGCAUUUGAGAUUGACCAGUCCCGCACCCGAAACAACUUUUCCUUUUAUGUUUUAAACCGACUUUUAGGGUUUUAUUUUAUUAUUUAAGCACGAGGCUCGACCUCUAGAACAAGAACUUUUAUUCUACGCAGCUUUUGAGUACUUGUAAGCUUUGGGAAAAGAUAUCUUAUCUUUUCUAACCCUUUAGAGAAGAAUUCUGAACCCUUUUAA